rnacentral:rRNA from 1 species
AUCGAACGCUGGCGGCAGGCCUAACACAUGCAAGUCGAACGAGUGGCGGACGGGUGAGUAAUGUCUGGGAAACUGCCUGAUGGAGGGGGAUAACUACUGGAAACGGUAGCUAAUACCGCAUACCAUCGGAUGUGCCCAGAUGGGAUUAGCUAGUAGGUGGGGUAAAGGCUAACCUAGGCGACGAUCCCUAGCUGGUCUGAGAGGGUGACCAGCCAAACUGGAACUGGGACACGGUCCGGACGCCUAGGGGAGGCGGGAGUGGGGAAUAGUGCACAAUGGGGGCAAGCCGGAUACAGCCAUGCCGCGUGUAUGAGAAGGGCCUUCGGGUUGUAAGGUACUUUCAGCGGGGAGGCGUUACCCGCAGAAGAAGCACCGGCUAACUCCGUGCCAGCCGCCGCGGUAAUUC